GUGAAACUCUGUGCUCAGUGCUGAGCUCCCAGUCCUCUAGUCUCAGAGAGUUGGACCUGGGUAACAACAACCUGCAGGAUUCAGGACUGAAGCUUCUAUUUUCUGCAGUGGAAAGUCCAAAGUGUACACUUGGAAUUCUCAGGGUGGAGCCUGCUGGAGUCCGAUGGUUGAGACCAGGUCUGAGGAAGUAUUCCUGUCAACUCACAAUCGACACAAACACAGUGAACACAAAGCUCCAACUGUCUGACAACAACAGGAAGGUGACACAUGUGGAGGAGGUUCAGUCAUAUCCUGAUCAUCCAGACAGAUUUGAUGUUCAUCAGCUGCUGUGUAGAAAUGGUCUGACUGGUCGCUGUUACUGGGAGGUCGAGUGGAGAGGAAGCGUUUAUAUAUCAGUGAGUUACAGAAGCAUCAGAAGGAAAGGAGACAGUGAUGACUGUUUG